rnacentral:rRNA from 1 species
CAUUGGGCGGCUACCAUGCAGUCGAGCGGAUGAGGGAGCUUGCUCCCUGAUUUAGCGGCGGACGGGUGAGUAAUGCCUAGGAAUCUGCCUGGUAGUGGGGGAUAACGUUCCGAAAGGAACGCUAAUACCGCAUACGUCCUACGGGAGAAAGCAGGGGACCUUCGGGCCUUGCGCUAUCAGAUGAGCCUAGGUCGGAUUAGCUAGUUGGUGAGGUAAUGGCUCACCAAGGCGACGAUCCGUAACUGGUCUGAGAGGAUGAUCAGUCACACUGGAACUGAGACACGGUCCAGACUCCUACGGGAGGCAGCAGUGGGGAAUAUUGGACAAUGGGCGAAAGCCUGAUCCAGCCAUGCCGCGUGUGUGAAGAAGGUCUUCGGAUUGUAAAGCACUUUAAGUUGGGAGGAAGGGCAUUAACCUAAUACGUUAGUGUUUUGACGUUACCGACAGAAUAAGCACCGGCUAACUUCGUGCCAGCAGCCGCGGUAAUACG